CUGGGAUGAUGAGAUUCCACUUCAUCGGUCCGUGUUUCUGAAACACAUGAUUUUGUGGAAGUUCUGACUUG
rnacentral:snoRNA from 1 species